rnacentral:tRNA from 1 species
GGAGAGUUGGCCGAGUGGCUGAAGGCGCGCCCCUGCUAAGGGCGUAUGGGAGAAAUUCCAUCGAGGGUUCGAAUCCCUCACUCUCCG